rnacentral:lncRNA from 1 species
GAUCUGAACUGGAUCCAAAAUUUUCUAGGUUGGGUUCGAGUUAUACAUAGACCCGAGUCGAAUGACUCGGAUGAAAAAUUUUUGCCGUGGAUCCGACGUGAUCCCAUCUUCUAUUGGGUUGGGUUUGAGUUCAAAAUUAGGACCCAAACAAGGAACCGGGUUGGGUUGGGGUCACUCAUGACCCAAUCCGAUCGAUUUGCACCCCUAAUUGGAACCACGUACCAUAUAUGCAUAUAUGCCUUGUGAUCAUCCCUGCAGGUUGGAACUGGUCGAGGCAAG